rnacentral:lncRNA from 1 species
CCUCAUAUCUCAUAUCAUAAAGACCAUGUACAUACAAGUGGGAUUAACAAUCUGCAUUGGUCAAGCACAACUCUAUCCUCAAUAUUCAAAUUACAUAACAUAACUUAAAACACUUUUACAUUACAUCAUAAUACAAUUGUCAUGUCCACAAUCUAGCCAUUACAUAAUAUCACUUCAUACUCUGGCUAACCUCCUGGUCUACCCUGUACCUGCACAUCUGGGGUUAGGGGAGAGGGGUGAGCUAAAGAGCCCAGUGAGCAGAAUAGAGAAAACAUAUAUUAAAAUAUUUCAUGCUUCCAUGAAAUGCAACACAUCACAAACAUAUCACAUAAGGAUGGUAUUGUCACCUAUAG